UACGGAGGAUGCGAGCGUUAUCCGGAUUUAUUGGGUUUAAAGGGUGCGUAGGCGGCCUGCCAAGUCAGCGGUAAAAUUGCGGGGCUCAACCCCGUACAGCCGUUGAAACUGCCGGGCUCGAGUGGGCGAGAAGCAUGCGGAAUGCGUGGUGUAGCGGUGAAGUGCAUAGAUAUCACGCAGAACCCCGAUUGCGAAGGCAGCAUACCGGCGCCCGACUGACGCUGAGGCACGAAAGUGCGGGGAUCAAACAGG
rnacentral:rRNA from 1 species